UACGUAGGGUGCAAGCGUUGUCCGGAAUUAUUGGGCGUAAAGAGCUCGUAGGCGGUUUGUCGCGUCUGCUGUGAAAACGCGAGGCUCAACCUCGCGCCUGCAGUGGGUACGGGCAGACUAGAGUGCGGUAGGGGAGAUUGGAAUUCCUGGUGUAGCGGUGGAAUGCGCAGAUAUCAGGAGGAACACCGGUGGCGAAGGCGGGUCUCUGGGCAGUAACUGACGCUGAGGUGCGAAAGCUGGGGGAGCGAACGGG
rnacentral:rRNA from 1 species